rnacentral:misc_RNA from 1 species
GUAUUGAGUUUUAUAGGCACAUAGGCCCAUAUAAUGCAUUCUACAACAUACUAUGUGGUAUAUGAAAAAGACAUAGACCUAAAGGAAAUUGCGAGCCAUUGAGGAGAGCCGUGCUUUCACACAGCAUCCCUCACAUCCGAAAGGCUAAAAGCUAUUCGAGGAGUCAGCUCGCUCUUGUCCUCCAAGACUACAAAGGGUGCACAGGUGGAUGGAUAAAGAUGGCGGGCGUGCACAUGCUUCGAAAAGCCAGCUACAACCUACCAAGUUUAUUCAAUAAUGAUCCUUCCGCAGGUUCACCUACGGAAA